rnacentral:rRNA from 1 species
GUGGGGAAUAUUGCACAAUGGGCGAAAGCCUGAUGCAGCGACGCCGCGUGAGGGAUGACGGCCUUCGGGUUGUAAACCUCUUUCAGUAGGGAAGAAGCGAAAGUGACGGUACCUGCAGAAGAAGCGCCGGCUAACUACGUGCCAGCAGCCGCGGUAAUACGUAGGGCGCAAGCGUUAUCCGGAUUUAUUGGGCGUAAAGAGCUCGUAGGCGGUUUGUCGCGUCUGCCGUGAAAGUCCGAGGCUCAACCUCGGAUCUGCGGUGGGUACGGGCAGACUAGAGUGAUGUAGGGGAGACUGGAAUUCCUGGUGUAGCGGUGAAAUGCGCAGAUAUCAGGAGGAACACCGAUGGCGAAGGCAGGUCUCUGGGCAUCUACUGACGCUGAGGAGCGAAAGCAUGGGGAGCGAACAGG